rnacentral:sRNA from 1 species
AUGUAUUUUGUGUACAUUCCGGUUCUUCCGCGCCGUGCGCCUUGCCAUGCGGUCGCUCGCUACGAUUUGUGCC